ensembl:lncRNA
AUUUGAAUGAACGGUAAUAGAAUGAAUAAACACACUAAACUACUCUAAACUAUACAAAAUACGCCAUCUAGUGGUGAACUAUCACACACACACACAUACACACACAUACUAGCCUACUACCUAGUACAGUCAAUAAAUUAGUACAAAGGAGUGUGUUCAGGCCUCAGUGGAGCAUAUCCAGGCGCACUAGCCUGUUUCCUGAGCUCAUGGCGUAUUACAUACAAGGUAAAAUGGGGAAUCUGUGGGCUAGCACAGGUCUGUAUGAUGAUACCAAAUAUUCAUUCAUCGAUCCGGAUUACCACAUAAACAUAGAGGAUUAUUUUCAACAUGUUAACGUCAUUGAACAGGUGAGCUCAGAUAGCCCUACAGACAUGAUGCUGGUUAAGAAGGAGCAGAAAGAUGCCGAGCUGGAUAGGAAGAUUGAGGCGUUGCGAAAGAAGAACGAGGCCCUUAUGAAGCGCUAUCAGGAGGUGGAGGAGGAUAAGAAACGGGGCGGAGCAGGAGGGCAUGGCAAUGCAGAGCCGCAAAGGGAAGGUUGAGGACCUGACCAUCACCAUCAACAAGUCCCCAACUGAGAAGCGUGUUGUAACCAAGAAGGGUUGGGAGAUGCAAUUCCUAAAGGGGUGAAGAACCAGGAGGACGUGUCCGACAUUUUUAGUGCUGGCCGUGGUAAAAGGAGGCAGCUUCUAGUCACUGCACCAGGAAACACUAAGGUUGGAAAGAAGCAGGAACGAAAGUGUCGAGUUGAAGGUGGUCAUCAUGGAUUCACUGAGUAUAACCCCUAUCCCCAGCAAACCGAAGUGCUGACUGAUCUCAGCAUCCCCACG